rnacentral:rRNA from 1 species
AGGUUAAGGUAGAAAGGGCAUACGACGGAUGCCUAGGCACUUACAGCCGACGAAAGACGCAGCAAGCGGCGAAACGCCGCGGGGAGCCGCAAGCAGGCCUUGAUCCGCGGAUAUCUGAAUGGGGCAACCCCACGGGUGCAGACCCGUGACUCCGUA